rnacentral:rRNA from 1 species
AUUGAACGCUGGCGGCAUGCUUUACACAUGCAAGUCGAACGGUAACAGGCCGCAAGGUGCUGACGAGUGGCGAACGGGUGAGUAAUGCAUCGGAACGUGCCCAGUCGUGGGGGAUAACGCAGCGAAAGCUGUGCUAAUACCGCAUACGAUCUAUGGAUGAAAGCGGGGGACCGUAAGGCCUCGCGCGAUUGGAGCGGCCGAUGUCAGAUUAGGUAGUUGGUGGGGUAAAGGCCUACCAAGCCGACGAUCUGUAGCUGGUCUGAGAGGACGACCAGUCACACGGGGACUGAGACACGGCCCAGACUCCUACGGGAGGCAGCAGUGGGGAAUUUUGGACAAUGGGCGCAAGCCUGAUCCAGCAAUGCCGCGUGCAGGAAGAAGGCCUUCGGGUUGUAAACUGCUUUUGUACGGAACGAAACGGCCUGGGUUAAUACUCUGGGCUAAUGACGGUACCGUAAGAAUAAGCACCGGCUAACUACGUGCCAGCCGCCGCGGUAAAAC